rnacentral:rRNA from 1 species
AGUGAACGCUGGCGGUAGGCCUAACACAUGCAAGUCGAACGGCAGCACAGUAAGAGCUUGCUCUUACGGGUGGCGAGUGGCGGACGGGUGAGGAAUACAUCGGAAUCUACUUUUUCGUGGGGGAUAACGUAGGGAAACUUACGCUAAUACCGCAUACGACCUACGGGUGAAAGCAGGGGAUCUUCGGACCUUGCGCGAUUGAAUGAGCCGAUGUCGGAUUAGCUAGUUGGCGGGGUAAAGGCCCACCAAGGCGACGAUCCGUAGCUGGUCUGAGAGGAUGAUCAGCCCAACUGGAACUGAGAAACGGUCCAGACCCCUAGGGGGGGGAGCAGGGGGGAAUAUUGGAAAAGGGGGGAAAGCCUGACCCAGCCAUACCGGGGGGGGGAAGAAGGCCUUCGGGUUGUAAAGCCCUUUUGUUGGGAAAGAAAAGAAGCAGGUUAAUACCCCGCUGUUCUGACGGUACCAAAAGAAUAAGCACCGGCUAAUUUCGU